ensembl:snoRNA
UAGCAAAGCUAGACCUUUACUGGUUUUCAGUCUCUGUGCUUUCCUACAAUGCUUGCUAGAAUGUUCUGAAAUGGUUUGAGGCCUUGACCCAUGCCUUGCUUGAAGCAUGGUCAUAGACAUUUCAGAUGGUU